UACGUAGGGGGCUAGCGUUAUCCGGAAUUACUGGGCGUAAAGGGUGCGUAGGUGGUUUCUUAAGUCAGAGGUGAAAGGCUACGGCUCAACCGUAGUAAGCCUUUGAAACUGGGGAACUUGAGUGCAGGAGAGGAGAGUGGAAUUCCUAGUGUAGCGGUGAAAUGCGUAGAUAUUAGGAGGAACACCAGUUGCGAAGGCGGCUCUCUGGACUGUAACUGACACUGAGGCACGAAAGCGUGGGGAGCAAACAG
rnacentral:rRNA from 1 species